rnacentral:rRNA from 1 species
AGCGAACGCUGGCGGCGUACUUAACACAUGCAAGUCGAACGAGGAUCGCUACGUGAGCAAUCAUGCGGCGGUUCUAGUGGCGUACGGGUGAGUAACACGUGGGCAACCUGCCCUGGAGCCUGGGAUACCCUCUCGAAAGGGAGGCUAAUACCGGAUACGUUCCCCGGGUCGCGAGAUCUGGGGAGGAAAGGUGGCGCAAGCUGCCGCUCUUGGAGGGGCGUCGCGGCCUANCAGCUAGUUGGUGAGGUAAU